rnacentral:tRNA from 1 species
GGGGAUGUGGUGUAGAGGCCUAACAUGCAACCCUGUCAAGGUUGAGAUCGCGGGUUCGAAUCCCGUCAUCCCCGCCA